rnacentral:siRNA from 1 species
GAAAGCAUUGGUGGUAUUCGGGU